rnacentral:rRNA from 1 species
AAGGCAGGUGACCAACCAUGUACUGACGCUGAUGGACGAAAGCGUGGGUAGCGAACGGGAUUAGAUACCCCGGUAGUCCACGCCGUAAACGAUGGAUACUAGCUGUGGGGACCUCGGUCUCCGUGGCCAAGCGAAAGUGAUAAGUAUCCCACCUGGGGAGUACGACCGCAAGGUUGAAACUCAAAGGAAUUGACGGGGGCCCGCACAAGCGGUGGAGCAUGUGGUUUAAUUCGAUGAUACGCGAGGAACCUUACCAGGGCUUAAAUGCAGGCUGCAUGGGGUGGAGACAUCCCUUUCUUCGGACCGCCUGCAAGGUGCUGCAUGGUUGUCGUCAGCUCGUGCCGUGAGGUGUCAGGUUAAGUCCUAUAACGAGCGCAACCCCUACCGUUAGUUGCCAGCAUGUCAAGAUGGGGACUCUAACGGGACUGCCGGUGCAAACCGUGAGGAAGGUGGGGACGACGUCAAAUCAUCACGGCCCUUACGUCCUGGGCCACACACGUGCUACAAUGGCCGGUACAGAGGGAAGCCACCCCGCAAGGGGGCGCGGAUCUACAAAACCGGUCACAGUUCGGAUCGGGGUCUGCAACUCGACCCCGUGAAGCUGGAAUCGCUAGUAAUCGGAUAUCAGCCAUGAUCCGGUGAAUACGUUCCCGGGC